ensembl:snRNA Gm26264 predicted gene, 26264
AUACUUACCUGGCAGGGGAGAUACCAUGAACAUGAAGGUGGUUUUCCCAGGGUGAGGCUUAUCCAUUGCACUCCAGAUGUGCUGACCCCUGAGAUUUCCCCAAAUGCCGGAGACUGCAUAAUUUCUGGUAGUGGGGGACUGCGUUCGCGAUCUUCCCUG